GACGAACGCUGGCGGCGUGCUUAACACAUGCAAGUCGAACGGAAAGGCCUCAGCUUGCUGGGGUACUCGAGUGGCGAACGGGUGAGUAACACGUGGGUGAUCUGCCUUGCACUCUGGGAUAAGCUUGGGAAACUGGGUCUAAUACCGGAUAUGAACUGCCUUUAGUGUGGUGGUUGGAAAGUUUUUUCGGUGCAAGAUGAGCUCGCGGCCUAUCAGCUUGUUGGUGGGGUAAUGGCCUACCAAGGCGUCGACGGGUAGCCGGCCUGAGAGGGUGUACGGCCACAUUGGGACUGAGAUACGGCCCAGACUCCUACGGGAGGCAGCAGGGGGGAAUAUUGCACAAUGGGCGGAAGCCUGAUGCAGCGACGCCGCGUGGGGGAGGACGGCCUUCGGGUUGUAAACUCCUUUCGACAGGGACGAAGCUUUUUGUGACGGUACCUGUAGAAGAAGCACCGGCUAACUACGUG
rnacentral:rRNA from 1 species